rnacentral:rRNA from 1 species
UGAACGCUGGCGGCGUGCCUAAUACAUGCAAGUCGAACGCGCAGCGAAAGGUGCUUGCACCUUUCAAGCGAGUGGCGAACGGGUGAGUAACACGUGGAUAACCUGCCUCAAGGCUGGGGAUAACAUUUGGAAACAGAUGCUAAUACCGAAUAAAACUUAGUAUCGCAUGAUACAAAGUUGAAAGGCGCUACGGCGUCACCUAGAGAUGGGUCCGCGGUGCAUUAGUUAGUUGGUGGGGUAAAGGCCUACCAAGACAAUGAUGCAUAGCCGAGUUGAGAGACUGAUCGGCCACAUUGGGACUGAGACACGGCCCAAACUCCUACGGGAGGCUGCAGUAGGGAAUCUUCCACAAUGGGCGAAAGCCUGAUGGAGCAACGCCGCGUGUGUGAUGAAGGCUUUAGGGUCGUAAAGCACUGUUGUAUGGGAAGAAAUGCUAGAAUAGGGAAUGAUUCUAGUUCGACGGUACCAUACCAGAAAGGGACGGCUAAAUACGUG